rnacentral:rRNA from 1 species
GAUGAACGCUGGCGGCGUGCCUAAUACAUGCAAGUCGAGCGAACAGACGAGGAGCUUGCUCCUCUGACGUUAGCGGCGGACGGGUGAGUAACACGUGGAUAACCUACCUAUAAGACUGGGAUAACUUCGGGAAACCGGAGCUAAUACCGGAUAAUAUAUUGAACCGCAUGGUUCAAUAGUGAAAGACGGUUUUGCUGUCACUUAUAGAUGGAUCCGCGCCGCAUUAGCUAGUUGGUAAGGUAACGGCUUACCAAGGCGACGAUGCGUAGCCGACCUGUGAGGGUGAUCGGCCACACUGGAACUGAGACACGGUCCAGACUCCUACGGGAGGCAGCAGUAGGGAAUCUUCCGCAAUGGGCGAAAGCCUGACGGAGCAACGCCGCGUGAGUGAUAAAGGUCUUCGGAUCGUAAAACUCUGUUAUUAGGGAAGAACAAAUGUGUAAGUAACUAUGCACGUCUUGACGGUACCUAAUCAGAAAGCCACGGCUAACUACGUG